UCAAGUCAAGAUGGCGGUCGUCUCUUGUGUGGAUUGAUGUAGACUUGUGUCUUCUUCAUCGUUCUUUUCUUUCGUUUGGGCCACAGCAUGUUGAGGAUUCUGUAGCCCUUAAGUUUUUAACAUUCACGGAGUCUACCGUGCAAGCCGAGUGAACUGUCUCUCACAGUGUUUGGACAUAGUAGGUGCGACUGAAGAUGGAAAGAAAAAAGCCAGUCCAAGUCAUUUUAAGCUCCUCAAUGUGCUGGGACAAGGCAUUCCUUUUGCAAGACAGCGGUUUGGACCUGCAGCAACUUCCCACAGCGAUGGACGACAAAGUGGGCAGGAGGAAACUAAUUAUGUAGAGAUUCCGAGCGAGCUCGCCAGAGUGAAGUGAGUGAGUUUAAUCGUAAAAUGUUCUUACAAUUCUUAAAGUUAGCAUUUUUGC